UAUCACGAUACGCCUGUAGCUCGAUGGA
rnacentral:sRNA from 1 species